UACGAAGGGGGCUAGCGUUGCUCGGAAUUACUGGGCGUAAAGGGCGCGUAGGCGGACAGUUUAGUCAGAGGUGAAAGCCCAGGGCUCAACCUUGGAAUUGCCUUUGAUACUGGCUGUCUUGAGUUCGGGAGAGGUGAGUGGAACUCCGAGUGUAGAGGUGAAAUUCGUAGAUAUUCGGAAGAACACCAGUGGCGAAGGCGACUCACUGGCCCGAUACUGACGCUGAGGCGCGAAAGCGUGGGGGAGCAAACAGG
rnacentral:rRNA from 1 species